rnacentral:lncRNA from 1 species
CUCUUGCAGCAAGGUCAGAGUGCAGUGAAGAAACCAAUCUGCCUUUGCAGCAAAGUCAAGAAACAAAAGAAAUAAAAUAGAGGGCAGUGCUGUCUGCAGCACGGAGGAGAGGAAUCCGGGGGAGUGCAGUGAAGGGGCUUGCGGUAUAAAGAUAAAGAAACAAAAACUGCCUCUUUGGCAGCACCGAGAGCAUCAGUUCCCUUGGGCAGCGAGAAGGACACGGAUAGAAGCAAUCUGGACAGAGGGAACACAGCAAGCAUUCACUCUCUUUCGGUUAAAUCCUUCCAAACUCAUAUUUUAUUUCUGUUUUAAUAAUGUGUAACUAAUUUUAUUUUGGCUAGAGGUUAAUUCAAAGCCAUGAAUAUAUUUGUAAUAUGAAUUGAUUACCUUCAGUUGUGAUUUCUGAGUUGUGAUUUAAUUUGCUUAACUGCUUGAUUGAUAACUUAUUUUUGUAUGUCGAUUAAGAAUGCAUACUUAAUUUACAUGCAUGAAUUUGAUGCUAGAAUAUAAGUGAAUUUCACCUAAUCGUUAUGAACUUAUAUUCACAAGUAGUAAAGGUUGCUAGUCACAAUCACGUUAAGUAAAUUCUUGGCAUAAGUUUCAUGCAAAUCAUAGUAACGAGUGCCUCGUCAAUGCUUAUGUUUUUCAUAGAACUUAAUGAUUCUUGCUUGUAUCUCUAUUAUGCAAUUCAUGUAGGGAACUUGUAGGGAAUGUUUUGGGUUGUCGUAUGCAAUCAUCCAACCCAAUAACUUGUGGAAAAACUGAGGGUUAAUUAGUGCAAUUCACGGUUAAUUUGGAGCGUUGAGAUUUACAAUUUAUUGAAAGAACAACUGAAAAUCAAUUUAGGUUGCAUAUGUGUCAUGUGUGGAGAAGAACCCUCUAGCUAGUUUGUCAUUUAUCAUUUUACCUUAAUUUUAUGUUUUUGUCAAUUCUGUAAUUUAAUUAAGUUUAAUUUACUUUUCAUCAAAACCAAACAUCCAUCCAUUAUUAAAUUAUAUUAUUUAGUUAGUUUUCUUUAUUGUUAGUCUUUUAAUUUAAUUUCCGUCCAUUUCAGUUCCUAGUGUUUAAUUUAAUUGUUUUCAUUAUUUUGAGUCAUUUUAAGUGUGUUUCGAGUUAUUAGAGUUUUUAGCCUAGUUUUGUGUCCUUGAGUCUUAUUUAAUAUUUUUAAAUUAAUUUAGAAUAGAUUAGCAAUCCCUCCUAAUCCCCGGUUUAGAACGAUCCCUACUUACAUACUUUGCUACAACUGUCAAAAGAGGGUUUAAUUUGUGUGUUAACUUAUUUUUCACAUCAAAUUUUGGCGCCGUUGCCGGGGAUUAGCAACUUUGCUAAUCCCUUUAUUUUUGUUUUUGUUUAUGUUUAUAUUGGUGUUUGUGUAUUUUACUUUUGAUAUUUGAUUUAUUUAUUUAUUUUUUUUUUUUUUAUUUGAUUUUAGGUACAAAUGGAGCGAGACAUGGCACUUGCGACCAUUCAAGUUCAAUUGGCACAGCUCACUGCUCAAUUGACUCAUAAUGCCGAACGGACCACAAUGCCAAGUGUCCCUACAUUUGAUGUGCCCUAUGGGCAAGGUUAUCAAAGUCCUCAAUUUUAUGCAAAUGAAGAUGUUUGGGGAUAUCAAGGCCAUAACCAAUCGAGGGGCAACAUUUUUUCCAACGCUUACAAUUCAGAUUGGAGAGGUAAUUCAGAUUAUAUGUGGGAUGAACCUCAACAAUUUCAACAAGGUGGAUAUUGGCAGCAAGACGAGUUCUAUUCAAGACCUAUGCAGCCACCACAGCAUUCCCCACAACAAUUCCAAUCAAAUCAAAGUAUGCCCAUGAAUUAUAAUGAAAUUCUUGAAGGACUAAUUUCUGUAGCGCAGGGUUUACGAAAAGAAGAACAAUUGCCGCCAUCAGAAGAGUUCUAUCAGUGGCCAUAUGAACCGUCACAGCCACCACAACAAUCAACCCAAUUCAAUUCAGGUACGUCCUUGGAUAAUGAUACACUUAAUAAGUUACUCACCUCUUUGAAUCAGGGAGUAGAAAAUCGAAACCAGGAGAUGCAAGACCGAGUCAAAAGAGUGGACGAAUUGGAGAUGCAAGUUGGGCAGAUUGUGGAAUUCAUGGCACAGAUUCGAGAUCAAAGUGAACUUUCCAACUCAAACAUUGCAAAUUCAAAGGCAGAAAGUGAAAUCGAUGAAGCCACCACCUUGGAAGGUGACAUGAAGGAUGAAGCUGUCCCAGAACCAUCCAAACACAGCCCAAACAUGGAUGAAUUGCUGCUGCAAGCAGAAGAGGAAGAGGACGACCUGGGCAGUUUAGAAGAAUUCUUGCUGCAAACUCCUCAAAUCCCUAUGUCAUCUAACUCAGGUGAGGAAAGUCUAAAUUCACUUCAUUCUAACAUUAGUCCACCGAAUGUCCUUUGUCCUUGCAGGUUUUUGAUUCCAAAUAUCAAAGAGAGUGAAAAAGACAUUGUGGAAGCUCUUCCAAAGGUGCAAAGUGAUAUCCCAAUUCUUGGUGCACCAAAACAAGUUCCCGAUGGUAUUGAAAUGUUCAAAGAACCUUGCACACCAAGAAAAGGGAUUCAAGAAAAUGAAGUGGUUGAAGCAUAUCAAGAAUACAUCCAAGAGGCUGUGCAUGAGACAAUCAAGCCCAAAGCAGUUGAGUUUGAUGACACGGGACAAGCCACAACCAUCAUAGUAAACCUGGCCAAGUUCAAAGUCCCGGAAAUGUUCACAGAUGUGGUGUUUGUCAUUGAGUUUGUGUCGGAAAAAGAAAAUAAGCCAUCUUCUCCAAUUUUAAUUUUAAUUUAUACUAACAUGUUUCUUAUUUUGAUGAUUCAGGCACCCACUCUUGAAUUUAAACCAUUGCCGAAUCAUUUCAAGUAUCACCUCCCAUUAAAAGAUAAAUUUCAUGCUUUGGAGCCGAGGGGAGGUUAAAGGAAAGAUUCGUCCGGCUAAAGACGUUAAAUCAAGCGCUUCUUGGGAGGCAACCCAAGCAUUCAACGAAGGGAGACUUUGGAAUCGCUCACCAAAUCAGAUUUGAAUUCUUACACCCUUAUCUUUACUGCUUUCAUUUUGUUUUGUUCAGUUAGUUGUGUUAUUUGGUUGAUUUAUGUGAGUUUGUGUUAUUUAGUUUAAGUGUAGGGGAAGGUUAAACAAAGUCUUUUUACAUUGAUUUACAUAUUUUACAUUGAUUUAAAAAAAAAACAAAAACAAAAAAAAAAAAAAAAAAAACAAAACAAAACAAAACACACCUAAAGAAAAAAAAAAAAAAAAAAAAAAAAAAAUAGAAAUAAACAUUUUUUUACAAUGAUGUGUAAACUAAUAGAAUUCAUUGGUCAGGUGGUGCUUCAGUAGUCGGCGGAGCUUCAGCAGUCGGCGGGGCCACGGAAGGAGGAGGUAUCGGAGGUUGAUCAGUUGGAGCUUCACUACGCGGUGCCGCCCCAGAAGACGAAGGAAGAUGCGGUUGGAACAAACCCACAAACCUCCGAUGAUCAAGUAAAAUUUGACCAUCAGUGUCUUGCAGCUGGUCAAUUUUCCUCUUCAUGUUUGUGGCAUAAUUGUGUGCAAGCUUGUGCAAUUGUUUAUUUUCAUGCUUGAGUCCUCUAAUCUCCUCUUUGAGACUCUGUAUUUCAGCCACCAACGAUUCAACAUGACGGGUUCGGGCAAAUAGGCGUUGGGCCAUGUUGGACACGGAACCGGCACACUGCACGCUAAGAGCCAGAGACUCCUUAACCGCCAAUUCAUCAGAUCGUCUAGCGAGCAGUCUGUUAUCUCUGGGGGUGACAAGGUUCCGGGCCACCACCGCAGCUGUCAUAUCAUUUUUCAUCACCGAAUCCCCCACGGUAAGGGGACCGGUAGGGGAUAUGAAAGAUGGGCGCCAUAUGUUGUCUGGUGAAGGCGGAGCUGCCUCUUCACCAAUGUUCAAGUCAAAACGACGAUCGGAAGGGCCAGACAUUUUCUGAAGGUGGUGAAGAAAGAAGAGAGUCGGACUGAUUAAGAUUUUGGAAGUUUACAGGAGGGAGUGUUUACAAGAGGGAGCUCAAGUGUGUUAUGGAACAAAAUUAACGCCUCUAUAAAAAGAAGAAAUCAAAGAGGCGCUCCUCAGAGAAGCGUCCUCUCGCAAAUCGAAGAGUCGGGGCUCCUUUCUCAAAAACCGGAUUUUUUUUCUCAAAAGAGGCGUUGCAUUUCUUAAAGGCUGGGCUUGCUCAGAAACCACGAGCCGAACCCCGGAUUUCAAAAGAUCAAAUUGUCCAGACGUGUCGUCACUCGUCACAUGCAACUGGCUGCUUUGCGAAAAUCUCGGGCAGUUUGUCGAAGCACCAAUUCAGAAAUCGAAGAGGGAAAUUCAACAGUCAAAGACACGCUAGCUUUCUCAAAAGCUGGGCUUCAACCCACGGGCAAAUCUUCUUUUCCAGAUUUAUCCGCACGUGUCACAUACUACCUCUACAAUCGACGAUGCUCAGAGCUCGAAGCGCCGAUUCCAGAUAUCAAUGAGGAAUCUGCUUUGCGAAAAUUACGGGCAGCUUUGUCAGAAAGCGCGUAAUUUAUACUAUCAUUCAUCCACCGGCUGCCGACAAUGAGUGAGAGAAUAGUUCCGGUUGUGAAGAAAAGCCCUAUAAGUAUCUACCUUCGCCUUUCACAGCAAAGACACACCCUCUUAACACUUCUUCAUCUCCGAAAAUGCAUUCUCAAAGAAUCCUUCUAAGUUACUCCGUGUUCCUCAUUCCCUGGGAUACCCCUGCAAACAACCCAUCCAGAGCAAAAGUAUUUCAUAUCAUAAUGGUUGAAAGCAAGAGUAUCUCAUAUCAUGCAUUCUCCAUGACCUUUUCCUUGUCUUUGUUCUAACCUGCAGGACAUGGAGAAAUUGCUCUCGAGUACUCGUCUUCCACUGCUGAUGUACUUCCAAAGAAGCUGCCACAUCUACCUGAAGAACAGAUAAGGCAAGCGAAAAUGAUACCACCAGCAUGUGGAGACAACGUACAGAAGAAACAAGCAGAGAAGAAUGCAGCUUGCACAAUCAUCCCAGCGGAAUGAGUCCGAGCUGAGGAACUAGAGAAGCUGCCACAUCUGCUUGGAGAACAAAUAAGGAACUGCAACAUCACCAAAGAGCAAAGCUUCGCCGUACAAUAUCAUCAAAUCAUCACUUGCAAGUAAAAAGCUAAGUGUCACCCCGUUCAAAAGGAAAGCUGUGGAAAGUCAACAAGCACGACCAAUGACCACUUAUUAGUUCUAUUCAUUGUCUUUUAUCGUGAUUUUCAAUUUUUCGUUUGCAAUUUUUUUUUUAUAUUUCUUGUGUCACUUAACUGAAUUAUUUCUUUUCUUUGCAGGAACUUUUGGUUAUUUCCACCCUUGAAGUUGAUUGCAGAAUUUUAGCUUGGGGGUCAUCGCUUGAUUUUACUGCAAAUUAGGGAAGUUUUCAGUCCAAUUGUUUUUAUUUUUGUUUCUUAUUAUUUAUUUUAUUUUAUUUUUAUUUGCAUUAUAGUGUUUUCUGACAUUGGGGACAAUGUCAAGUUUAAGUGUGGGGGUAGAAAUCUCUAGAAUUUCAUUUGUUUCUGUGUUGUUACUUUUUUUUGUUUUCUUUAAAAAAUAAAAUAAAAAAUUCGGAAAAUUUAAAAAUCCAAAAAUAUUGUCUUGUUUUCCUUAUUAGAUUUUUGUUAGUUUCCCGACCCAAUGCUAUAAUUAGAUCAAAUUUGAACCAUGAUCAUCAAGAACUUAGUUAACAUAUGUUUUUGUGAAAUUCCUAAUUCUCUUGUUAGUUUUGUACAUGUUUGAUCAUCUUUUGAAAAACCAAAUGCACAUAGCCUUGUUGAUGUGAAACUAAAGCAUGACUUAAAGCUUCAUAUGUGAAUUUAGUGACCAUAUACAUCCUAUGUGAGUUUUUGAGCCUAUUGAAAGUGUGUGCAUUUUUCAUACACUCCUAUUUUUUUUUUUAUGUGUGAUGAACUUAUGUGAGAUACAUCUCUAGAACUUGCGUAACGAUCUUUCGAAAUGUUUGUCAUUGAUUGCAUGAACUUGGAAAUGAUAGAGGCAUUAGGUUUACCACUAUGGCCCAAAUAACCAUGUUUCCCAAAUAAAAAUGAUAUCAUUAGAUUGCCAAUUUGAGCCGUGUAUGUUGAGCCUUUUAUUUCUUAUCACCAGAUAUGUCUACCCUUAUACCUGAAACAUUUUUCCUUACCCUUUCCAAGCGAGCAAUGCGAGAUUGUCUUAUGAGAAACGUUUGUGAAGUACUUUGAAGGUGUUUGGCAAAAGAAUAAGUGUGGGGGUAUUUCAUGUUUGUGUGUAAAAAAAAAAAAAAAAAAAAAAAAGAAAGAUUGUAUACAAAUGAAAUAAAAAGUUGUUCAAUUUUCAGUUUAAGGGUGUGGUUGGAGGUGCUAAAAGAAUAGUUGGAAAUAUUGAGUUCUUAUAAAUCUAAAGAAAAGAAUUGCUUGCAAUGUAGCUUGGAACUUGUGUUUUCCUAUUCUUUCGUUUCAAUAACCCUAUCCCUAAGCCUCAUUACAUCCAAUAAAAGUCCUCUUGAUUUAAGUUUUGCAAUUAUGACUGUGGAGAAGUGAUUUUUAUGCAAGCUUAUGGUAGAUAUUUCACAUUUGAUUCUUUGAGCGAAACACAUUAAAACUAAACACAUAUUUGAUUGAGUGCAUAUCCCGUGAGAAGGUCGCUAGUUUGCAUAUGAUGAUUUUAAAAAUAAAAACUUGAAAUUGCAUUAGCAUGGCUAUCUCACACACUACACUUCAAGGAUGAUUCAAAGAUUACUGCUAAUAUUUGAAUAAGAAAGAUGAACUUGGAUUAGUUCCUUGAUGCUAGCUAUGGUUCUUGUUGAUUUGUGUUCUCGAAUGAAAUUCUAUGAGGGUCACAUAGGGGGAAGCUAAUGUUUUUCUUGUUACUUCUUGUUCUAGUUUUCUUUGUUUUGCUCGAGGACUAGCAAAAGCUAAGUGUGGGGGUAUUUGAUCACUCAUAUAUUUCAUACAUAUAUACCAUCCAUUUCUAUAGUCUUUGUGAUGUUUUUGUGUUAAAAUUGUGGCAGUUUACCUUAUCUUGUGUUAAUGUGUAGUUAAUUUUGUUGUAGGAUCAAUUUUAAGCAAAAAGAAGAAAAUGAAACAGAAAGAAAACAAAAUAAACAAAGGCAGUGGAAAGGAUGAUUACACGAGUAGUGGACAGAAUGUCCACUAAAGAAACGGAAAAAGAAUCCAAAGGAUCCAAGAGAGAGAUGGAAUAGAAAAAUAGAAAGAGGAAGCUGGAGGCGUGAAAAGAAGACUCGGGGGGAAGGUGGAAUGGGAAGAAGACAGCGAGGCUGCCAGGUGGAAAACCAGGAAGAGAACGUGCAGGAAAAAGCAGAGACGCGGGCCGUUGCAGCUGGCAAAGCGUGAAGGAUAGGAGAAGGUGCGGAAAAAGAAUAAAGAAAAGAGAUAAAGGGGGGACGUGGGGAGAAACAAAGCGGCCUUUGCAGCUGGGCAGAGGCGGCCCUUUGGCAGCAGAAGAAACGUCAGGAGAGAGAGUGAGAGAGGCGCUGCAUUUUUGCAGCCUGUACAGAAGCAACGCAGAGGAGAGAACCGAGAGCAUCAGUUCCCCUUGGCAGCUGUGAGAGGUUAGCCUCGGACGAGGAUAAGCGCUGCCUUACAGCGUGUUCAGCUGCUGUGCAAAAAAAAAAGGUUUUUUGGCGGUGCAAAGUCAGAGGGCUGCAUGUGCUCGCGGUGGAAAGAAGUAAAUGCUGCCUCUUUGGCAGCUGGAGAGACAAGAAACCGCUGCUCUUGCAGCAAGGUCAGAGUGCAGUGAAGAAACCAAUCUGCCUUUGCAGCAAAGUCAAGAAACAAAAGAAAUAAAAUAGAGGGCAGUGCUGUCUGCAGCACGGAGGAGAGGAAUCCGGGGGAGUGCAGUGAAGGGGCUUGCGGUAUAAAGAUAAAGAAACAAAAACUGCCUCUUUGGCAGCACCGAGAGCAUCAGUUCCCUUGGGCAGCGAGAAGGACACGGAUAGAAGCAAUCUGGACAGAGGGAACACAGCAAGCAUUCACUCUCUUUCGGUUAAAUCCUUCCAAACUCAUAUUUUAUUUCUGUUUUAAUAAUGUGUAACUAAUUUUAUUUUGGCUAGAGGUUAAUUCAAAGCCAUGAAUAUAUUUGUAAUAUGAAUUGAUU